GAAAUGCGAUAAGUAAUGUGAAUUGCAGAAUUCAGUGAAUCAUCGAAUCUUUGAACGCACAUUGCGCCCAUUAGUAUUCUAGUGGGCAUGCCUGUUCGAGCGUCAUUUCAACCCUUAAGCCCUCGUUGCUUAGCGUUGGGAGCCUACCCUACGGAGGGUAGCUCCCCAAAGAUAGUGGCGGAGUCGGUCUCACACCCCAGACGUAGUAGAAUCAUCUCGUCCGCGGUUGGGCCGGUCCCUUGCCGUAAAACCCCAACUCCCAAAAAAAGGUUGACCUCGGAUCAGGUAGGAAUACCCGCUGAACUUAA
rnacentral:misc_RNA from 1 species